UACGGGGGGGGCAAGCGUUGUUCGGAAUUACUGGGCGUAAAGGGCUCGUAGGUGGCCAACUAAGUCAGACGUGAAAUCCCUCAGCUUAACUGGGGAACUGCGUCUGAUACUGGAUGGCUUGAGUUCGGGAGAGGGAUGCGGAAUUCCAGGUGUAGCGGUGAAAUGCGUAGAUAUCUGGAGGAACACCGGUGGCGAAGGCGGCAUCCUGGACCGGCACUGACACUGAGGAGCGAAAGCCAGGGGAGCAAACGGG
rnacentral:rRNA from 1 species